rnacentral:tRNA from 1 species
AGGGUUGUGGCUCAGUGGUGGAGCACUUGCCUCCCAGGUAUGGGGUACUGAGUUCAAUCCUCAGCACCACAU